rfam:TPA: Bos taurus chromosome 2, whole genome shotgun sequence.
UCCCUGGUGGCUCAGAUGGUUAAGCGUCUGCCUACAAUGCAGGAGACCUGGGUUCAGUCCCUGGAUUGGGAA